rnacentral:rRNA from 1 species
UACACUCCUGCGGGAGGCAGCAGUGGGGAAUAUUGCACAAUGGGCGCAAGCCUGAUGCAGCCAUGCCGCGUGUAUGAAGAAGGCCUUCGGGUUGUAAAGUACUUUCAGCGGGGAGGAAGGCGAUAAGGUUAAUAACCUUGUCGAUUGACGUUACCCGCAGAAGAAGCACCGGCUAACUCCGUGCCAGCAGCCGCGGUAAUACGGAGGGUGCAAGCGUUAAUCGGAAUUACUGGGCGUAAAGCGCACGCAGGCGGUCUGUCAAGUCGGAUGUGAAAUCCCCAGGCUCAACCUGGGAACUGCAUUCGAAACUGGCAGGCUAGAGUCUUGUAGAGGGGGGUAGAAUUCCAGGUGUAGCGGUGAAAUGCGUAGAGAUCUGGAGGAAUACCGGUGGCGAAGGCGGCCCCCUGGACAAAGACUGACGCUCAGGUGCGAAAGCGUGGGGAGCAAACAGGAUUAGAUACCCUUGUAGUCCCAUG